AACAGAACCAGAGAGUUAUGAAGGAGGAAGGAAACAGGAGACUCCAGACAUCAGGAAGAUGACAGUUAUACAAGAGCUUCUGAAGGAAGACAAUGCCAGUGGAGACAAAAAUGAUGAUGAUGAUGACGAUGGCCUGUUUGGGCCUAGAAAACUGUUCCUGUUUGGUGUUGAUUAUUUUAAGGGUGACGAAAAAUUUGUUUGGUAAGAAGAAACAAGAGCUUGAGGAAG